AGAGUUUGAUCAUGGCUCAGGAUGAACGCUGGCGGCGUGCCUAACACAUGCAAGUCGAGCGAAGCGCCUGGAAGUUUUCGGACAGAAGGGCGACUGAGCGGCGGACGGGUGAGUAACGCGUGGGUAAUCUGCCUCAUACAGGGGAAUAACAGCUAGGAAAUGGCUGCUAAUGCCGCAUAAGCGCACAGGACCGCAUGGUCUGGUGUGAAAAACUCCGGUGGUAUGAGAUGAACCCGCGUCUGAUUAGUUAGUUGGCAGGGUAACGGCCUACCAAGACGACGAUCAGUAGCCGGCCUGGAGAGGGUGGACGGCCACCAUUGGGACUGAGACACGGCCCAGACUCCUACGGGAGGCAGCA
rnacentral:rRNA from 1 species